GAGUGGGACCAGAGGCCACUGUCUGAAUGUGGUCAGAAAAGGAGGACAACCUUGCAUCUUAGGGACGGGAGAUGGGAAAGUUCCACUCAGUGGGCCGGCCUCCAGACAACCCCUUUGGCAUUCUGCAUUACGACCACCCUUUUCUCGUAGCUGACUUUCCCAUUUCACGGCCCUGAGCUUUCAUUACCUGACUCACUUUUGCCUCACCUCUUAGUUUGUUGGCUGAGCACUUUCUGUGUCUCCAGGUGGAGAAGAGGUGUCUCUCAAUGUGAAUCCCUGACCCUCACCUGUAAUGAUCAGUGGUCAUCUGAGGCCUCACCAACCAGGCCCCUCAUCCCUCCUUGCCCACUCGAGAGGCACCACGCUUCCUGGUGACUUCACAUGGCAUUCCUGGGUUGACGUCCCCCUGCCACGUUCAUCGCUCUGGACUGGAUGCUGUGCGAACUGACACCCGCCCUCCGCACUCACCAAGCUCAGAGCCUGGGACAGAAGCAGCUGGGCGCAGCCAAGCGGUGGCCUUUGCUGCAUUCUGCAGGCCAGAAGCCCAAAAUAAAGAUGUCAGCUCCCUCCAGUGGCCCUACAGGAAGCCCUUUCGUGAUCACAG